rnacentral:rRNA from 1 species
UACGAAGGGGGCUAGCGUUGCUCGGAAUUACUGGGCGUAAAGGGUGCGUAGGCGGUGCGUUAAGUCUGAUGUGAAAGCCCUGGGCUCAACUCAGGAAUUGCAUUGGAAACUGGCGUGCUGGAGUACGGGAGAGGGAAGCGGAAUUCCUGGUGUAGCGGUGAAAUGCGUAGAUACCAGGAGGAACACCGGUGGCGAAGGCGGUUUCCUGGCCCAGUACUGACGCUGAGGCACGAAAGCGUGGGGAGCGAACGGG